UGCCCCAUGGCUGAGUUGGUUACAGCGUCCGACUGUUAUCAGUACACAUCUCUAAACAUGCAAUCGGAAGGUCGAGAGUUCGAGCCUCUCUGGGCAG